GGCGCUAUAGCCAAGUGGUUACGGCGACAGAUUAGAAUCCACGCGCCUGAUUGCUUCUGUCUAUCUGUUCCUCUUUGAGGGCGCAGGUUCGAAUCCUGCUGGCGUCG